CGGGUGAGUAACGCGAGGUAACCUGCCUUGUAGCGGGGGAUAACUAUUGGAAACGAUAGCUAAUACCGCAUAACAAUGGGUGACCCAUGUCAUUCAUUUGAAAGGGGCAACUGCUCCACUACAAGAUGGACCUGCGUUGUAUUAGCUAGUAGGUGAGGUAACGGCUCACCUAGGCGACGAUACAUAGCCGACCUGAGAGGGUGAUCGGCCACACUGGGACUGAGACACGGCCCAG
rnacentral:rRNA from 1 species